UACGUAGGGUGCAAGCGUUAAUCGGAAUUACUGGGCGUAAAGCGUGCGCAGGCGGUUUUGUAAGACCGAUGUGAAAUCCCCGGGCUUAACCUGGGAACUGCAUUGGUGACUGCAAGGCUUGAGUGUGUCAGAGGGAGGUGGAAUUCCGCGUGUAGCAGUGAAAUUCGUAGAUAUUGGGUGGAACACCGGUGGCGAAGGCGGCCAUCUGGGCUGUAACUGACGCUGAGGCGCGAGAGCGUGGGGAGCAAACAGG
rnacentral:rRNA from 1 species